rnacentral:lncRNA from 1 species
CGAAGUUCUAUAUACAGAAGAGCAGCUGUAUUGGGUCUGUUUUUGAGAUGUCAAAUAUAAGAUUUGAUGUGAAACUUUUACAUCAAAAUUUUUUGCAUUUAAUGAUGAUAGUCAAGUUCGAGAAAACAAUAAAAUUUUGUUGGAAAUAUAAUGUAUACUGGUGGGUAUUUUGAAAUUAAACAAAAAUCUAACCAGUGUCGGAUUUUAGGGGAGUUCACAUGCAUACAGGGACAACGUUCGAAAAAUAUAAUUUUCUGCAUAAAAAAGUCCCAUAAAUUUUUCGCAUCGCUACGC